AUGCGCAUAACUUACACCUACAUAAGUGGACUGAUGGAUGUGGUGCUCUAAACUAACCAUGUGAUAUUGGUUGCCCCGUCACGGGCUGGAAACGUGACCGUGGUUAGUUUAAAGCCGGAAAUAAAUAUAAAGAAAUUGAUGUGUGGAUGUAAACUGGAUUGUAUGAAAAGGAACUUUGGGUUUAUCUUGUUAAUAUGGCAGGCCCCGUCACAGGCUGAAAAAGUGGUACUUUGAUAGGCCCCCUCACAGGCUAGAAAUGUGGAACUAUAAUGUGCAGGCCCCGCCACAGGCUGAAAAUGUGAUACUUUGGUAGGCCCCCUCACAGGCUAGAAAUGUGGAACUAUAAUGUGCAGGCCCUGCCACAGGCUGAAAAUGUGAUAAUUUGGAUGCCCCACCACAGGCUGAGAAAUGUGACCGAGAUUUGACCCAAAGUCGGAAAGAUAAUUAAUCCGGAUCAAA
rnacentral:lncRNA from 1 species